GCAAGAUUAAAACUCAAAGGAAUAGACGGGGACCCGCACAAGUGGUGGAGCAUGUGGUUUAAUUCGAAGAUACGCGAAGAACCUUACCUAGCCUUGACAUAUUUUAGAACUCACCAGAGAUGGAGAGGUGCCUUCGGGAGCUAAUUUACAGGUGCUGCACGGCUGUCGUCAGCUCGUGUCGUGAGAUGUUGGGUUAAGUCCCGCAACGAGCGCAACCCUCGUCACUAGUUACUAACGGUUCGGCCGAGGACUCUAGUGAGACUGCCUUCGUAAGGAGGAGGAAGGUGAGGACGACGUCAAGUCAUCAUGGCCCUUACGGCUAGGGCAACACACGUGCUACAAUGGCCAGGACAGUGAGAAGCGAUACCGCGAGGUGGAGCAAAUCUAUAAACCUGGUCUCAGUUCGGAUUGUAGUCUGCAACUCGACUACAUGAAGCUGGAAUCACUAGUAAUCGUAGAUCAGCUAUGCUACGGUGAAUACGUUCCCGGGUCUUGUACUCACCGCCCGUCACACCAUGGGAGUUGAUUUCACCCGAAGCGGGGAAGCUAAACUGGCUACCCUCCACGGUGGAAUUAGCGACUGGGGUGAAGUCGUAACAAGGUA
rnacentral:rRNA from 1 species